ensembl:lncRNA SNHG8 small nucleolar RNA host gene 8
GUGUCAUGUGGCCAUCUUGAGUCUACUCUGUCGCUCUUGUGCCCUAGCACCCCGAGAACCGUCAGUUUGAGCCAGAUGGUGAGUAAUAACCUGUAGCAGUUUGGUUGCUGGUUAAUUCUGGAUUGUGAAUCUCCAUGUAUCUUUGGGACCUGUCAGCCGUGGCAGUCUCCCUUCCUAGCCAUGGAAGAGCAUAUCCUUGUUUAUUGGCAAAGCUGUCACCAUUUAAUUGGUAUCAGAUUCUGACUUGCACAAGUAACAUUCACUGUUAAAAACCUAGAGGGUGCCGGGUUAUUGGGCAAAAUUUCUAAACCGUUGUUCAAUGUUUCUAGGAAGCUGAGCUGAACACAUUACGAUGGAUGAUGGAAACAUAAGACUAUCAAGAAAUCCAAGUGGUAAUGGGCGAAGUUUAUUCAGCAUCCGGCAAUGGACUUAUCGUAGUUGGGGAAACGGGUGUUCCGAAUAAUAUCCUGGAAGUUAUCAGGACACCUAUUUUAAAUAUAGGCCUGAAUUUUGUAAAGUAAUAUUUAAGGUGGUCCGUGAUAAUUAAAUAAAAUGCUUAAUUCAUGUGGC